CAGAUUCACACUUUGCUUAAAGAUGGAGCUAGUUAGCCAAAUAUUUAUGAAAACAUUUUGUCCUUCAGGGCUAAGGCACUAAAUAGUGUACAUGCUAACAAUACAGAUGCUACCAGGAUAGGGACUAGGGCCCCCUCUGAGUUUAUGAAAAUUUUUAUAGCCUUAUUCCAGGUGCUGUGAUAGACUCACACUUGGUCUCUCUGGGGAAUUUAGUCAGUGGCAAACAAGAUAUAGAGGCUUUAGUGCUCCUAGUUAUCUCUGGCAUAACCCCAGCUCCCAGAGACUUGUUUAAAUUUAUGGAUCAUCUCAAUGUCCAAAGCAUACUGCCUUUUUAUUUGCAAAUGCUCCAGAUAUAAGUUGGUAUGAGUAGCAAAUGUCGAUUUCUUAAAGACUUGAGUUUACUUUAGAGUCAUAGUCAUGAAACGUGAAUUCAAAUAUUUUUCAUUUCUAGAAGUCUUGCUAUAAUCUCUCUAUCAGGAAUUUCUCAUUGGUUACCUUUCACCAGCCCCUCUAGUAUUCUUAGUUUGCUUGGCCUUGACUCUCUUCUUUGACUGUUUAACCUCCCCUCUCCUCUCCAGCUGCUUACUUUGCCCCUCACCCUACUCCACCCCAAUAUCCGCUAACUCCCUAUAAAGGACAGGUUAAUUCUCUGUUUCUCUAACUCUUUCCAGACUGUAACUAUUGGGGCCUCAAUUCCUACAAUGAAAGUGGUCUAUCAAGUUAUUUUCCUACAGGAAGACAGCUAUUUUUAUAAGAAGAACUAAGAUGUUAGCUAUUAAAAUCACAUUUUAAAAUCAAACUCUAUACACAUAUCCAUCCCACAAGCAUUUAUUCAAUACUGUAGCUCAGGAACCAUGCCAGGUGCUGACAAUAAGACAAGUUGCCUACUAUACCAGUUAUUAAACUAGUGUUUCUCAUCUCCAAACCCAUCCUUCCUAAUUUGCUCUCAGGUGCUGGCGCUGGAACUUUACAAACCACAUUUCUGCUUUGCCAGCUGGCUAUAUAUAUUUUAUAUAUUGAGUCUGGUAAUAUGGGGGCUCUAGUGGGAGUUAACAAAAGUGAACAUAGAAGAAGGGAUUUGCUCCUUCCUGUUUGUUUCCUUUGGGGCUCCCUUUCUGCUUGGGAUUCCUGGAAGCAUCAUGCAGGCAAAGCUUCUUCAUCCUGCAGUCCCUUUCUAUAGCAGCAUUUGAAUUAGGUGGAAGUUUUUUCAACACUUGAAAAACCAGCCCAAUCACAGUCCAUCUCAGAGAUACCAGCACCGGUCAGCAGGUUCCCCCUGAGGCCUGAGGUUUCCCUCUAAGGAUGUAAGUUAAUAAUUCCAACUUCUGCCCUUGGUACUCUCCUCCCUAAGGAUGGAAGCUGCUUUCUGCAUUGCCGCAGUCUGGGAUAUCUUAGAGCUUUCUUUUUACCAUUUCAGUUAUUAACCUCUUUACACCUAGCUAACAAUUCUUUAUAGUAAAUUUUGCCCCUAAAAACAAUUGGAGUGGUUUCUGUCUUCUGACUGAACUUUAAUACACCUGCCAUCAAGGAUCAGAAAGUCUGAAGCAGAAGAUUAUCUCCUCUGACAAAGGAGUGUACAAAGUAAGCAUAGGGGAGUAUGAAAGAGAAUGUUAAGGUUCAAACAUAUAAUGCAAAAUGGGAUGCAUAAAAAAAAUAAAAAAGGAGUUCCCACUGUGGCACAACAGGAUCUGUAGUGCCUUGGGAGCACACUGGGACGCAGGUUUGAUCCCUGGUCCGGCACAGUGGGUUAAGGAUCCUGUGUUGCUGCAGCUGUGUCUUAGGUUGCAACUGCGGCUUGGAUCUGAUUCCUGGCUUCAGAACUCCAUAUGCUGCAGGUGGCCAAAAAUGAAAUAAAAGAAAAAAAAGAAUGUAUAGGUGUGGAAAUGCUAAUACAUACCAACCAAAAAAACACUAAAACUUUUUUCAGCUUUGCAGAUAAUAAAACAUACUAUUUUAAAAAGCUGUUAAAGCAUGUAUUUAUAGUAGCUUGACUUUGUGUUCUCUCUGCAUGACAUUAUUGUAACAUGGAUUUGAAAAGCUGUGUUGCUUUGCAGAUAGCUUCUGCAAUCUCAGUGUCACAGAACUUUCCAGGUGCUAAUUCCCCAAGCUGAGGCUAUUCCAGACCACACUGUUUUGGCCUUCACCCCCUAAGAAUCAAUAAACAAACAGUAUUCAAUUCUCCCUAGGAAGGUAGAAGACUAGAGAGCAAAGUGAUAAAAAAUGAAAAGAACCAACCAACCAAACAACAACAACAAGAAAACCUUCAACUGGGAACAAGGCAACCAAUCAAAUAAGUCAAAGGUAAAUAGGAUGUUUUACAAAUCUGACAUUUCUACUCAUGGACGUAAUAUGAGGAUGUUAAAACUUUUAAACUACAUGCAAUAAUAAAAGCUUAUUAUUGAGAUUUUGCUUUACAUCCUAAAUCUCAUGUAACUUUACAAGAGCUCUUUAACUUAGGUGUUUCUAUUAUCUUCAUAUUACAGAUGAGAGAGCUGAGGUGCAGUCUGCCUAAGGAACUUGCCUGAGACCAUGUAACCUGUAAGUGGAGGGUGGGAAUAAGAACUCAGGCUCAAAUGAACCAGAGUCAGAGUUCUCCAGUGGAGGGAUCCUGGCUCAUCUUUAGUUCCUUAAGAGCAUUAUUAAACAAACAAAAAAUGAAAAAACAAUAGCAGGUUAGAAUUAAUACACUUCGGGACUUCUAUUGUUUCCUAUCAGGGCAGCAAAGACUUAUUGAGAAAUGGUAGUUUUGACAGUACUUAACAAACCAAAUAUUUAAUGAAGAAGCUUAAGACAAAUUUGUAUACUAUGGGGUCCAUGUAAGAUUUAUUUUGAUGUCAGAGACCAAGUUGACCCACUACAUAUUAUUUUGCUGAUUUGAAAUUAAUAUUUGUGGAAACUUUUUCAAAGUUUCUAAAAGUUAUUUACCUUUCUCAUCUUUGCAGCUCCACUGCCUAGUACAAUACCUGCUCAUGGUAAGUUCUUAAUAAAGAUUUGUUGAAGGGAAAGAAGAAUUUAGUUAAUACAUACCUCCAUCCAGAUUCAACAAAUAUUCAAAUGUGUAGACCGGCCUCCUAAAUGCUUAAAGAAAAAAAAAACUUAGAUAACUAUAUUCUAUUUAGCUUAAAUGACUUCAAGAGAGACAGAGAUUCAGCUGCUUUGCCAAAGUCAUUUAGCUAGUUUGUUAUGGAGCCAGGACUGGGCCUCAGAACAAGCUCAAGCCCAGCUCUUAUCCACAGUGUUAAACUGCUUUGAAAAUUUUCUUAAUUCUUUGUUUCACAUCUGUGAAACCGGACAAAUAAUAUCUAUCUAAAUAGGUUUAAUUUAACCAAUAAAUAAAAUCAAUAUAUUGACAAUUAAAAUUGAAAUUCAUAUUUUCAAAAACCAAUUGAGAGAUGUUUCCUAGUACUUGGAGACAGAUUGAAAAACUAAAAAAUUAAUAUGAUUCAGUAAAGGAGACCAGCUGAAAAGAGGAAAUUGUUUUGGACAAAAUCUUUAAAAAACCUAAUCCGGACAAUAUUUCUUAGAUCUUUUCAAAGCUGUGUGAUGAUUUUAAAACCAUAUUUAUAGGAAUAAUUUCCUGUUUUAAAAAUUAAUUUUGGCAUAUAUGGUAUUUAAAAGUAACUUUUCCUGAUUUCAAAAAUAUGAAAAGCAUAUUAAAAGAAAAGUUAUAAAAAUGCAAACACUAUUUAAAAUGAAAUUUUAGACUACAAGGCAAGCCUUGUAAUUAGCUGUAAUUAAAAGUUCAUGUGAAAAUGUGGAUUCACCAGGAUGAUGACUAACUCUGUGCCAUAUAAAUCAUAACUGCUCUCAGCAGCCCAGGCAUAUUCUUCCUCCCUCCCUUUUGUAUCCAACUAUUGAAUUUUAUCUUUCCUUCAAACCCAGUGUAAAAACCAACACCUAAAGUAUCCAAUAGAUUAUAAGAAUCAACUGUUUCCUUUCUAUCUUUUUCCCAAGAAGUCUUAGCAGUCCCCUACCCUCCACUGCUCUCUGUUAUUAAUCUUCCUUUUCCUCAUCUUAGGGCAUAUUGUGAGCUCCAUGGAGAGUGUGCCUUGAUUUGGACAGGGAGGGUCACUGGCUCCUCUGCCAUAAUGAACUGUAGAAUAGUGAGCACUUCACCUCUAUGGAAAUCUCCAUCUUCCUUAUUGCACGGUGUUUCCAACAUAGUAUGGACUCAGUAAGUGUGAUGUGUAUAUGUGUGUUAACAAACAAAAUUACCCUCAGCUGGUCUCCUUCAAAAUUUCUCCAAAAAGAUGUAGAUUCUCUGCUGUCCAUUUAAACAUAUACCUUCUGAUACUCAUUCCAUAUCCUGUGACAUGAAAUUAUGUGGGACUGGUGGUCCUUAUCCCAGAUUCUUGCAGCUGUUAAUAGUACUCAAUUUAAGAUGUAACAGGUACCCCAACCCUAGGUGGGUCAUUUGCUCCACAGCAGAUUUAAACUGACCACAAAGAUUACUUUCAAGUUCUAAUCCUAUAUAUCUCACUAGGAGAAAUUCUGAGCUUUGUGAAUAUCAUCCAAAGAGUGACACAGUGCAAUGAGAAGGGUUUACGCUUUGAACUCUGUCUCUGAAAUUUAACUGUAUUAUCACUUUAAUGAUAAUAAUAGAUGAUUAGAGUCUAAUAUCAAUCCUCAAAACAACUGAAUGCAGGAGGUUCUAUUCCCAAAUUCAAUCCUCAUUUUACCUAUAAAGAAACUGAGGAUCAGAGAGUCAACUUUAUUCCCAUGGUCACACAGCUAGUUCAAUGAUUGUGUCAGGAUUGGAAUCAAGGCAAUGAAACCUAAGUCCCAUCUCUCAACUUUAAUUCUCUGCUGCUUCAUUGAGUUCCUCAGCCUCUCUAUGUCUCAGCUUUCUCAUCUUAAACACCAAGCAAAUAAUUUCCACCUCAUUGGGUUGUUACAGCAGCCCAACAAGCAUUAAUUUCCUUUCACCUGGAACUGUGGAACUUCAUCAAGCUACAUCAAUCUGAAUUAAGAUCUUUGGUAGAAACAAAGGAACAUUGUAUAUAACACCCCAAAUUUCAUCCCCUGUUUUUCCAACUAAUCAUUGGAGUCUCAGUGACCCAGGUGUUCCGUGAUUGCAGGAUUGGGUCUCCAACAGAGGACAAGAUUCAGAGAUGCCUUCCUUGGUCCUUAGCAAUUUAAACACAUUUGCUGUGAAUGAUUGAGGACUUAAAAAAAAAAAAAGCACUUGCCACAUUUUAUUGACAGUAGAUUUGCUCUUUACAAAUAGAAACAAUUGUGUAAAUUUACGUAUGUAUCAACCUGACUUGGAUUAGUUGUGUAUUAACCACUGGUGAGGAAACCAAAGUCUAGAAAGGCAGAAUUGUCUUUAGUUUCACAAAGGAGAGGAAAUUUUGCUCCUGUUUCCCACUGAGAAAAAUAAUAGACAAUGAAAGUACAACUGACCUAUAGCAACAUUGCUAAAUCUUUUCCUUUUUUUCCACAACAAGGUCACCAUCUAGUGACAAUAUUAUGAUGUUGAUUUUUUAAGCUGGUGCAUCAUCAGUUUUCAUUUCUUUUUUCUCUGUUCUUCACAUAUGGUGAGAUAAAGACAAUGAACAUGUACUUUUUGAUGAAUCAUUGCCUUCGAUCCGCUCUCUGACUUUUAUUCAACUAAGACAUCAAUGGAGACACCUCCAUGGGUUUACGGAUGUCUUUUUUCGUUUUGGGGGUUUGGUUUGGUUUAGUUUGGUUUUGGUCCCUCGUGUAAUAGAUGGAGAGACCUUUGUUCUAGUGUCUGCAACUCCCUUUCUGCCUGUCAGGUGAGAAAACUACAGAACUUCUCUGAAAUGUAGUUUCCUUAUUUACAAUCAUUAGUUCCACAAAUACUCAUCAAAUACUUACUAAGUAACACAAGUGUGCUGGGAGGUGAACAAGGAGGAUUAUAAUGCUGCCCUGAGUCCUCCACAAAAUUUUUGCAAGAUGAAAUGCUCCAUCCAGCUCCAAACACCAGUAAUUCUCAUUCUGAAGAGGUCAGGCGAAUGAAAGCUUUCUGUGAACUAAAUGUAAUACAAAUACUGGCAAUGUGGUGAUGUGGACAGAGAUGGCAAUGGCCAUAAGGAGGAGGAUGCUGUGAAGUUUCCAUCCUGUGCUUAGGUGAGGGUUGGUGCUACUCUUUUAGACUUGCUGAGGACUUCAAAGAGGCAAACCAAACCUUUAUGGGCAUGGAAAUAGCUUAGCAAAUGGGAGAAGUUUGGGCCUUGAUC
rnacentral:lncRNA from 1 species